AGAUAGCUAGUCUAACACAAGACAACUAAUUUCGACUUAGUCAAUCGUGAUUAAAUUUCACGGCUACCAA
rnacentral:tRNA from 2 species